GAUGAACGCUGGCGGCGUGCCUAAUACAUGCAAGUCGAGCGAACAGAUGAGGAGCUUGCUCCUCUGACGUUAGCGGCGGACGGGUGAGUAACACGUGGAUAACCUACCUAUAAGACUGGGAUAACUUCGGGAAACCGGAGCUAAUACCGGAUAAUAUAUUGAAGCGCAUGGUUCAAUAGUGAAAGACGGUUUUGCUGUCACUUAUAGAUGGAUCCGCGCCGCAUUAGCUAGUUGGUAAGGUAACGGCUUACCAAGGCGACGAUGCGUAGCCGACCUGAGAGGGUGAUCGGCCACACUGGAACUGAGACACGGUCCAGACUCCUACGGGAGGCAGCAGUAGGGAAUCUUCCGCAAAGGGCGAAAGCCUGACGGAGCAACGCCGCGUGAGUGAUGAAGGUCUUCGGGUCGUAAAACUCUGUUAUUAGGGAAGAACAAAUGUGUAAGUAACUAUGCACGUCUUGACGGUACCUAAUCAGAAAGCCACGGCUAACUACGUG
rnacentral:rRNA from 1 species